UACAGAGGGGGCAAGCGUUAUUCGGAAUUAUUGGGCGUAAAGGGCGCGUAGGCGGUUUUUUAAGUCGGAUGUGCAAUCCCUGGGCUUAACCUGGGAACUGCAUUCAAAACUGCUUGACUAGAGUUUGGUAGAGGGUAGUGGAAUUCCCGGUGUAGCGGUGAAAUGCGUAGAUAUCGGGAGGAACAUCAGUGGCGAAGGCGGCUACCUGGACCAGAACUGACGCUGAGGCGCGAAAGCGUGGGGAGCAAACAGG
rnacentral:rRNA from 1 species